UGUACCCUUUGUACACACCGCCCGUCGCUACUACCGAUUGAAUGGCUUAGUGAGAUCCUCGGAUGGGUCCCGGCGUGCCCGGCAACGAGCGCGCUGGUGUGCCGAGAAGACGAUCGAACUUGAUCAUUUAGAGGAAGUAAAAGUCGUAACAAGGUUUCCGUAGGUGAACCUGCGGAAGGAUCAUUACCGAGAACGCUGUGAAAAGCGAGUGACGACCCCCAGGGUCCCCCGGCGCCGGGGGUUGCCCGAGUGGAACCGGUACCUACACGACGCGGCCCGACCUGCCUCGGGCCGGGGCGGGGAGCAAAACUCCCGCAGCUCGACGGUCUCAAGGGGGGGUACCUGCGCCGCUCGCAGCCUUUGGAGCGGCGACAGCCCCGACUGCCUUGGGCGAGGUUUAAAGAGCGGGCCCUGCCUCGUUGCCUCCGCCCCCCCUCCGUCGACCUGCGGGUCUCGCCUUGGCCGCGGGUCGCGCCAUUUUUCGCACCCUUCACCUCCCUGCUCGGGAACGGUCAGUGGGAAGAAAAUCAAGUCUCGAAAGAAAAGAAAAACUCAGAAAAUAACUCUGAGCGGUGGAUCACUCGGCUCGUGCGUCGAUGAAGAGCGCAGCCAGCUGCGAGAAGUGAUGUGAAUUGCAGGACACAUUGAACAUCGACGACUUGAACGCACUUUGCGGUCUCGGGUAACUCCCGGGACCACGCCUGUCUCAGGGUCGACUGCAGUCUGACCUCGCUCUCCGCCUGGUGGGUCUCCCCCGAGAGAGCGCCUUGGGCCCGGUCGCAGCGCCUCCCCGCCUCAGGGAGAGCUCCGUCCCCUCAAGUGCAGACCGUAGAGUGACCGAGAGCUGGACUCCCCACCCCGCCUGUCGCCCGCCUACCUGGGGAGGUCGCACGCACACGUCCUCGUUCCGUCGCGCGGAGCGCUGCCACGGCCUACAGGUGGCGAGCUACGCGGGUCGGCUGUCGUGCGAGGCCCUCGUCCGUCCAGUCCCAACCGACCGAAAAAAAGGUCGUCGUUUCCUCGACCUGAGAUCAGACGAGAUUACCCGCUGAACUUAAGCAUAUCAAUAAGCGGAGGAAAAGAAACUAACAAGGAUUCCCUCAGUAACGGCGAGUGAAGCGGGAAGAGCCCAGCGCCGAAUCCCCCCGGCCCCUGCCGGGCGGGAACUGUGGCGUUAGGGACGCCGAUCGACCGUCGGCCACGGAGCCCGAGUCCUCCUGAUCGGGGCCUUUCCCAGAGCGGGUGUCAGGCCUCUACUGGCUCCGGGCUGGCGGCCGUCGCGGCUGUCCCAAGAGUCGGGUA
rnacentral:rRNA from 1 species